UACGUAGGGGGCAAGCGUUGUCCGGAUUUAUUGGGCGUAAAGAGCUUGUAGGCGGUUUGUCGCGUCUGCUGUGAAAACUCGGGGCUUAACUCCGGGCCUGCAGUGGGUACGGGCAGACUAGAGUGCGGUAGGGGAGACUGGAAUUCCUGGUGUAGCGGUGAAAUGCGCAGAUAUCAGGAGGAACACCGGUGGCGAAGGCGGGUCUCUGGGCCGUAACUGGACGCUGAGGAGCGAAAGCGUGGGGAGCGAACAGG
rnacentral:rRNA from 1 species